GUACUGUACCUGGUGGCGAGCGGCGGACGGGUGAGUAAUGCCUAGGAAUCUGCCUGGUAGUGGGGGAUAACGCUCGGAAACGGACGCUAAUACCGCAUACGUCCUACGGGAGAAAGCAGGGGACCUUCGGGCCUUGCGCUAUCAGAUGAGCCUAGGUCGGAUUAGCUAGUUGGUGAGGUAAUGGCUCACCAAGGCGACGAUCCGUAACUGGUCUGAGAGGAUGAUCAGUCACACUGGAACUGAGACACGGUCCAGACUCCUACGGGAGGCAGCAGUGGGGAAUAUUGGACAAUGGGCGAAAGCCUGAUCCAGCCAUGCCGCGUGUGUGAAGAAGGUCUUCGGAUUGUAAAGCACUUUAAGUUGGGAGGAAGGGCAGUUACCUAAUACGUAAUUGUUUUGACGUUACCGACAGAAUAAGCACCGGCUAACUCUGUGCCAGCAGCCGCGGUAAUACAGAGGGUGCAAGCGUUAAUCGGAAUUACUGGGCGUAAAGCGCGCGUAGGUGGUUCGUUAAGUUGGAUGUGAAAUCCCCGGGCUCAACCUGGGAACUGCAUUCAAAACUGACGAGCUAGAGUAUGGUAGAGGGUGGUGGAAUUUCCUGUGUAGCGGUGAAAUGCGUAGAUAUAGGAAGGAACACCAGUGGCGAAGGCGACCACCUGGACUGAUACUGACACUGAGGUGCGAAAGCGUGGGGAGCAAACAGGAUUAGAUACCC
rnacentral:rRNA from 1 species